rnacentral:rRNA from 1 species
CUUUCUCCGCCGGCGACCGGCGCACGGGUGAGUAACACGUAUGCAACCUGCCCCUGUCAGGGGGACAACCCGCCGAAAGGCGGGGCUAAACCCGCGUACAUGCCACCGGGGCAUCCCGGAGGCAGGAAAGGCUUCGGCCGGACAGGGAUGGGCAUGCGGCGCAUUAGGCAGUAGGCGGGGUAACGGCCCACCUAACCGACGAUGCGUAGGGGUUCUGAGAGGAAGGUCCCCCACACUGGUACUGAGACACGGACCAGACUCCUACGGAAGGCAGCAG